rnacentral:rRNA from 1 species
UACGGGGGGGGCGAGCGUUGUUCGGAAUUACUGGGCGUAAAGGGUGCGUAGGCGGUCGGGUAAGUCUGGUGUGAAAUCUUCGAGCUUAACUCGGAAACUGCAUUGGAUACUAUUCGGCUAGAGAGUUGGAGGGGGGAUUGGAAUACUUGGUGUAGCAGUGAAAUGCGUAGAUAUCAAGUGGAACACCAGUGGCGAAGGCGAAUCCCUGGACAACUUCUGACGCUGAGGCACGAAAGCUAGGGGAGCAAACAGG